CCUCUGCUUUUUUAGGCCUGGGGUGACAAAGACUUUCUGCUCUUAUUAACCUUGAGGUCAAGCAAUCCUCCUGCCUCAGCCUCCUGAGAAGCUGGGACUACAGGUGUGCACUAUCCCAUUGGACUAAUUUUUAAUUUUUUUGUAGAGAUGGGGUAUUGCCAUGUUGCCCAGGCUGGUCUUGAACUCCUGGGCUCCAGUGAUCCUCCUGCCUUGACCUCCCAAA
rnacentral:lncRNA from 1 species